UGUCCCUUCACGCCGUUCUGCUCUCCGCGGCCCCUCAGCCCUGUUGCCCCGGGUGCUGCGGCCCUGCGGUGAAACGCAGCUGUUAGACCCGAGGGAAACUGCUAAGCGCACACAGCGAUCCGCGGGGUCCGUACAGGUAGUUAAGAAACCUACAGAAAUCCUCCCUCAGAAACCUCAUAGACAGGAUCAGCGCUUGUCAAAACUGAGAGUUUGGAGGUGGCCCUGCUCCUCUCUGUGUGCUUUAAAUAUCCUGAAAAUCUUUCUGUUCACAUAAAACCUUUCAGAACAGUAGAGAGCUCAGAACACUAACAUCAGUCUCUGUCUGCAACCAGGAAGAAAAAAAGGGAACACGGCACACACCCUGCAUGCUGAGGACUGCUGCGUCAUUGUGCUGGGCCACUGAACCACGAGGUCUUUUUCAGUCAGAAAGAAGACUACUUGUACUGAAGUCAGCUAUUUAGUGACAGGCUGAUAUUCUGGACAAGGAGUUCACACCUCAAGUAUGAAGAAUAGUGAUGAUUGGGGACUAUCAGGGAAAUGUGUAAAGGGCUCUGGAUGUAUAAACCACUGCAAGAGAUCUCUGGAAGAAUGUACGUGGAAAAGAACUUCUUCAGAUAUAUACAGGAAUGUGGUUCUGUAGGAUCAGGCAGCAGGAUCUGCCCUUGUGUCUAACAGAAGCACGCAGAUAUCUGGUAGAGGUCUACUUAAAAUGGAGCACAAUGAGUCAUUUGGCUAUGCCAUCACAAAGGAAACUGCUGUAGGCUCAGGAACUGCCUUUCCCAAGCUCCAUCAAAGCAGCCUCCUGAGCAUUUCUGCCUGGUAAGUGAGAUACACUAGAGGAUCUUUGCAUUCCCGGAAACAUCUGUUGCUUCAUCCCACAAAUUAACUGACACAAGCUUUUGUCUGCAUUCCCAAUCUCAUUUUUUUUCCACCUAGGGCUAUUAUUCUCUAAUUAUUUCAUGUAUCUUCAGAUAUUUAAAUGCUUAAGCUCUGGGGAAACCCCUGAUGCUGAGGAUACUGUCGGACAAACUAACUGACUCUCACGUGCAAGUGUCUCUUACAGGCUCUUGUCUGCCAAGCAAAGAUCCUUUGGGAGAUGCUAAACUGCCUAAGACAGGAGCCAACAUCAUACCUACAGAAGUGUCUUCUACAUAUUUUAGACCAAGUUUCACUGCAAAUCACCAGGAGUUAAAGUCACUUGGAUUUAGCCAGUGUUACCCAGGAGGCUGGCUGAGACUCCGAGGUCAUGUUAACGUGGUACCCCCUAGUGUCUGCGGGCCGGAGAGACAGCACUACAGCCAUUGCAGAGAAUCCUUCAUGUGAACGGAAGUCAUUUCGCUGUCAACGCUAUCAGCUCAGAAGCAUCUAUUUCUUUACAUUGCCUUUUUCCUUCAUCGCCCCAUCCACGUACAGCAUACUCACACAGGGAGCAGAUGGUCUGAGCUGAGUGUUUGUUCUAGUUUUACCUCGGUUUACCUCUAGUUUUGUGUCCAUCUAUAGCCAUUAUUUUUUUUGCCAUCUCUUGGGUGUUCUGCCUUUUUUCUUUUUUUGUUUGGUUAGGAGGGGGGGGAGCUGUUUCUUUGUGUGUGUAUUUAUUUAUUUUUUAACCCAAGAGGGAAUUUCUGCUAACUGGUGCCCUUUUACAAACAAAACCCAUUCUGGCUUUAACCAUGUCAGACACGUAUAGCGAGUCAAUGAGUGAGCCUGUUCAUGAGAAUGUUUAUAAACUGAAGGCAGCAGUGGAUGGCUUUCCAGGAAAAGGCAGGUAUCCCAUUCCUAAGAAACUUGCAUGGCUCCUAUCAGUGGGAAAAAGAUAGAUAAGGAAGAAGAGAGCU